UAUCAAACUCAUAAAACCCUUUCAUCUUCUACAUUCAGAAUUUUCUUAGGUCCCAAAUCACUUUGCAAACCUCAAGACAUCACACUCUCAUCACUCCAUCCCCCCCCCCCUCGUUGACGACGGCAGCAGACGAAGACUGAGCGGCGGCGGUGGUGGGUCGGAACGCCGGCGAUAACCCGCUUUCUUUUCUCACGAAGCACCCUUGCACCCUAUUACUCCCGCGACGAAGAUCAGAAGACGAGAGAGAGAGAGAGAGAGAGAGAGAGAGAGAGAGAGAUACCGAGGAGGUAGACGACGGCGGUAGCGCCGACAUACGCGACGGCAGCGGUGGAGGCGUGGCGGUGGUUCUGGUGACAUUCCGACGGCGACACCGGUGGCGAUGGUGUUUUGUUGGUUUCCCACAGAACUCCGGUCGCGACACGGUUCAAAGUUUCUGAAUUUGGGGUUGAUUUAAGCUCGUGUCUCAAUUUCGGUACGAGUCAGCCGGUCAACGAGACGGCAUCAGCGCCGGUGAAGGUGGUGGUGACUGUCUCAAGAAUCAUCUCGUCUUGUUCGGGUGACCUCGGUGUUCCAUCCUCCCAAACUCGUACACUCGUUAACACUUGGAUAAUCGGAAGACUUAGCAAUUCUGUUGACAGUCAAGAUGUUGAAGAAUCAAGUUAGGAUGGACUAGAUACCCAUUUUAAUAAUAAACCAUGUUUGUUGCAAUUUGUCCUUAUUUGAAUCAAUUGUUAUGA
rnacentral:lncRNA from 1 species